rnacentral:rRNA from 1 species
AACGAACGCUGGCGGCAGGCUUAACACAUGCAAGUCGAGCGCCCCGCAAGGGGAGCGGCAGACGGGUGAGUAACGCGUGGGAAUCUACCCAUCUCUACGGAAUAACGCAUGGAAACGUGUGCUAAUACCGUAUACGUCCUUCGGGAGAAAGAUUUAUCGGAGAUGGAUGAGCCCGCGUUGGAUUAGCUAGUUGGUGGGGUAGAGGCCUACCAAGGCGACGAUCCAUAGCUGGUCUGAGAGGAUGAUCAGCCACACUGGGACUGAGACACGGCCCAGACUCCUACGGGAGGCAGCAGUGGGGAAUAUUGGACAAUGGGCGCAAGCCUGAUCCAGCCAUGCCGCGUGAGCGAUGAAGGCCCUAGGGUUGUAAAGCUCUUUCACCGGUGAAGAUAAUGACGGUAACCGGAGAAGAAGCCCCGGCUAACUUCGUGCCAGCAGCCGCGGUAAUAC